rnacentral:rRNA from 1 species
AACGAACGCUGGCGGCAGGCUUAACACAUGCAAGUCGAGCGCCCCGCAAGGGGAGCGGCAGACGGGUGAGUAACGCGUGGGAACGUACCUUUUGGUUCGGAACAACUCCGGGAAACUGGAGCUAAUACCGGAUAAGCCCUAACGGGGAAAGAUUUAUCGCCGAAAGAUCGGCCCGCGUCUGAUUAGCUAGUUGGUGAGGUAACGGCUCACCAAGGCGACGAUCAGUAGCUGGUCUGAGAGGAUGAUCAGCCACACUGGGACUGAGACACGGCCCAGACUCCUACGGGUGGCAGCAGUGGGGAAUAUUGGACAAUGGGCGCAAGCCUGAUCCAGCCAUGCCGCGUGAGUGAUGAAGGCCUUAGGGUUGUAAAGCUCUUUUGUCCGGGAAGAUAAUGACUGUACCGGAAGAAUAAGCCCCGGCUAACUUCGUG